GUGGCUCGAGGACGAACGCUGGCGGCGUACUUAACACAUGCAAGUCGAACGGAAAGGCCCUUCGGGGUACUCGAGUGGCGAACGGGUGAGUAACACGUGGGUGAUCUGCCCUGCACUUUGGGAUAAGCCUGGGAAACUGGGUCUAAUACCGGAUAGGACUACGGCCUGCAUGGGUUGUGGUGGAAAGCUUUUGCGGUGUGGGAUGGGCCCGCGGCCUAUCAGCUUGUUGGUGGGGUGAUGGCCUACCAAGGCGACGACGGGUAGCCGGCCUGAGAGGGUGACCGGCCACACUGGGACUGAGAUACGGCCCAGACUCCUACGGGAGGCAGCAGUGGGGAAUAUUGCACAAUGGGCGCAAGCCUGAUGCAGCGACGCCGCGUGGGGGAUGACGGCCUUCGGGUUGUAAACCUCUUUCAGUAGGGACGAAGCGUAAGUGACGGUACCUAUAGAAGAAGCACCGGCCAACUACGUG
rnacentral:rRNA from 1 species